rnacentral:rRNA from 1 species
AUGGGACAGGGCAUAGACGCCUCGAUCCUCGCGCCGCUUUUUUCGCCACGUAUCACGUCCGCGCAACUGUUUCAGGAUAUGAUUAGAUCGACCGGGCCCACUUGUCAUCCACUCGGAAGGGAUCUUAUAAACGCGCCCGGCGAGGGUUUUUUGAGCAAUGCCUCAGCAUCCUCUCUUUGCUCCCUUCGUCUCCGCCCAACGCGCUCGCUCUCGCCUCUGCACAACUUCUCCUCGCGCGUCUCGCCGGCAGCCAUGGUCAAGGAGAAGACGGCGGCGCUGGAACGCGCGAAGAAGGCGUCGGCGACGGAGAAGGCGAAGGGGAGAUCCACCAGUCGCGGCGGGUCUUCGUUUAGAUCUCGCCUGCCGAAAGGCUGGGUCCAGGGAGAUUGGAUCCAAUCGACCAUCACGGAGACGGAUCUCCUCGACAUGGCCAACGAGGGCCUGAUCCCUCAUGGAGCUGCAAGGCUUCCGGGGAAAGAGUGGCAGCCCCAGCCGGAAGAGGGUGAGUGCGUGCUUUUGGCUACCCAUGUCGACCGCGGAUUUUCUUUGUCGCCGAGCGUUUUCUUCCGUGGUUUCUUGAACUUCUUUGGAGCGCAACUCCACCACUUCACCCCGAAUUCUAUCGCCUAUCUUGCCGCGUUUGUGUCCAUGUGUGAGAGUUUUCUGGGUUGUCGACCGCAUUGGGGUUUGUUCAAGCACAUAUUCACGUGUCGCUCUCAGACCGUGAAGAAGACGAGCCCAGGCGACGAAAAAACCCAAGUUGUCCAAAUGUGUGGGGGUCUGGGGAUCCAGGUGAGGAACAAGAGCACCUUUCCAGCCAUGACAUUUCCCGAGUCAGUCAGAGGCUGGCAGUCGACCUGGUUCUACUGCCAGGAUCAGCCGACGCCGGGGCAGUCGAGUGGACUCCCUCAGUUCACCAUGGGCCGAGUGAACAAGCCCUCCUCUUUGAAGGUGAUUCCGGAGGAGAAAGCUGACGUGAAGAUGCUGAUGGAGCGUGUAGUUCAGUUGGUUCGGGAGGGAGUGACGGGUAUGGAUCUCCUGGAGGUUUUUCUUAGGCGUCGUAUCCAGCCUCUUCAGUUCCGGAGCCAUUGCAUGUGGUUGUACCGCGGGACUGAGGAUGAGACUCGGGUCAAUCCAGAAGCAGUCGACGAUGCCACUCUGGAAAGGUGGAUGGCCGCUGUUACUGGGAACAAGGAUAACCCUCGUGGAGCCAGGAGGAUUCCUUCACUCGACCACCACAGUGAUCCAAACAAGGUCCUCACUGAGCUGUACUCGAUGCCCAAUGGAGCACAGGCUUCGACUGAGGAGGGAGAAGCGAGCGGGGGCGAGAGCCAGGAGGAGGAGUGGGACUCGGACGCCGCUGAGGAUGAUGACGAUGACGAUGAUGAUGAUGAUGAUGAUGAGACGAAGAAGAGGAGGAGGAGGAGGUCGCACCAUCGCGCUCGGAAAGGCGGUCGAAGCUUGUCCAUGACCCUGCGACUGAACGUGGCAAGGGGGUUGCGACUGUUACACAGUCGACCAAGCGCCCUCGGACCACCUCUCCGGCGCCGACUGAAAAGGCGUCGAAGCAGCCCAGGGCGGCCCCGUCAAAGUCGACCAAGCUCCUGCCGUAGAUGA